UGGGGAAUAUUGGACAAUGGGCGGAAGCCUGAUCCAGCAAUGCCGCGUGUGUGAAGAAGGCCUGAGGGUUGUAAAGCACUUUUACCAGGGAUGAUAAUGACAGUACCUGGAGAAUAAGCUCCGGCUAACUCCGUGCCAGCAGCCGCGGUAAUACGGAGGGAGCUAGCGUUGUUCGGAAUUACUGGGCGUAAAGCGUACGUAGGCGGUGACUCAAGUCAGAGGUGAAAGCCUGGAGCUCAACUCCAGAACUGCCUUUGAAACUAGGUCGCUAGAAUCACGGAGAGGUGAGUGGAAUUCCGAGUGUAGAGGUGAAAUUCGUAGAUAUUCGGAAGAACACCAGUGGCGAAGGCGGCUCACUGGACGUGUAUUGACGCUGAGGUACGAAAGCGUGGGGAGCAAACAUGAUUAGAUACCCCCGUAGUCCCUGAGCGGGCUGGCAAGGCGCAU
rnacentral:rRNA from 1 species